GGCGUCCAAGGCUCCAAGCCAUCCUCCGGUCCUCCCAUCCACCACCGGUCCACCGCCACUCCGCCAGCCGACCACUAGGUCACCAGGCCGCACCGCUGCAGCUCGCAAUCGGCGGUCGGAGGUCGGCCAGUCGCCCUCGCCCAGGUCUCCACUCUCCCGCACCCAGUGACCCAGGUCUCCCGUCUCCCAGGUAUGCUGUCGCUGCUGAUGUCUUCGUCGGUAUCGGCUACGUCGAGCCCACAGUCCAUAGAGAACGGUGACCAUGACCCAAGCUCUAGGCCAGCAGCCUCGUCCCCUCCUCUGCAGAUUCAGGCAGGGGACUUAUCAUCCUCUCCGGAGACGACCAGCUCAGACAACGCAAGGGGCGCCGCUGCUGCUACCGUUGUCACGGCCGGCGCCACUACUAAAGAUAAUCUAAUGGGUAAAACAGUGGCCUCGCCAUUCAAGAAGAGUCGUCGCGUCACCGCCAAUCGAAGUCGCCUCGCUGUUGAAGGACCACCAGCUACGCCCGCUAAAGAUUCUUCCACCAUCUCCAGCGUAGAGUUGUUGAAAUCAACGGGGUUCGAUGCACGCAAACCCCUCUUUUUUUACUUGAAUGUGUUCUUUAUUUAUCAGGAUUCCAUGUAAUAUUUUUUUAUCACAUCUCAAUGUAUAAUUGUAUGCUAGAAUUUAAUCCGUUGCUAAUUUUAGAUUCAUUUGAUGUUAGUUUCAGAUUAUGUUU